AAGUCGUAACAAGGUAACCGUAGGUGAACCUGCGGUUGGAUCAUCUGAUUAAGCGGGUGGCACACGCAGUGUGACACUCAUGUCGCACUACCGGUGCACGGAGUGUGACGGACACUUGUGACACACGCAAGUGUUGCAAGUGGCACACGCAGUGUGACGCUCGCUUUUGAAAAAGAGUGACCCCUUGCAGUUGAUCUACUAUCACGUCAAUCACGUGAUCAACGACCAUCUGCAAAUCACUCAUCAACACAAAUCCAGCGAACCUAAACAUUCUCCUCUCCCGAAAGAAGAGGGAAACAAAAAGACAAUCUAUAAACCAACAAUCACUCAAAAAGACAAAGAAUGGACAACUUUUGACAAUGGAUCUCUUGGUUCUC
rnacentral:misc_RNA from 1 species